UUCGAUUCUGGCUCAGAUUGAACGCUGGCGGGAUGCUUUACACAUGCAGUCUCGAACGGCAGCACGGACUUCGGUCUGGUGGCGAGUGGCGAACGGGUGAGUAAUGUAUCGGAACGUGCCUAGUAGCGGGGGAUAACUACGCGAAAGCGUAGCUAAUACCACAUACGCCCUUCGAGGAAAGCGGGGACCUUCCGGGGCCUCGCACUAUUAGAGCGGCCGAUAUCAGUUAGCUAGUUGGUGGGGUAACGGCUCGCAAGGCGACGAUCCGUAGCUGGUUUGAGGAGGACGACCAGCCACACUGGGACUGAGACACGGCCCGACUCCUACGGGAGGCAGCAGUGGGGAAUUUUGGACAAUGGGAAACCCUGGUCCCAGCCAUCCGCGUUAUGCGAUGAAGGCCUUCGGGUUGUAAAGCACUUUUUGGCAGGAAAAAACGGCACGGGAUAAUACCCCGUGCAACUGACCCAGUACCUGCAGAAUAAGCACCGGCUAACUACGUGCCAGCGUAACCGCGGUAAUACGUAAGUGCGAAGCGUUAAUCGGAAUUACUGGGCGUAAAGCGUGCGCAGGCGGUUCGGAAAGAAAGAUGUGAAAUCCCAGAGCUUAACUUUGGACUGCAUUUUUUAUUACCGAGCUAGAGUGUGUCAGAGGGAGGUGGAAUUCCGCGUGUAGCGGUGAAAUGCGUAGAUAUGCGGAGGAACACCGAUGGCGAAGGCAGCCUCCUGGGAUAACACUGACGCUCAUGCACGAAAGCGUGGGGGCAAACAGGAUUAGAUACCCUGGUAGUCCACGCCCCAAACGAUGUCAACUAGCUGUUGGGGCCUUCGGGCCUUGGUAGCGCAGCUAACAUACGUGAAGUUGACCGCCUGGGGAAGCCGGUCGCAGAUUAAAACUCGAGAAUUGACGGGGACCCGCACAAGCGGUGGAUGAUGUGGAUUAAUUCGAUGCAACGCGAAAAAACCUUACCUACCCUUGACGCUGUCUGGAAUCCCGAAGAGAUUUGGGAGUGCUCGCAAGAGAACCGGAACACAGGUGCUGCAUGGCUGUCGUCAGCUCGUGUCGUGAGAUGUUGGGUUAAGUCCCGCAACGAGCGCAACCCCUUGUCAUUAGUUGCUGCGAAAGGGCACUCUAAUGGGACUGCCGGUGACAAACCGGAGGAAGGUGGAAUAGCGUCAGUCCUCAUGGCCCUUAUGGGUAGGGCUUCACACGUCAUACAAUGGUCGGGACAGAGGGUCGCCAGCCCGCGAGGGAGCCAGUCCCAGAAACCCGAUCGUAGUCCGGAUCGCAGUCUGCAACUCGACUGCGUGAAGUCAGAAUCGCUAGUAAUCGCGGAUCGGCAUGUCGCAGUGAAUACGUUCCCGGGUCUUGUACACACCGCCCGUCACCAUGGGAGUGGGUUUUACCAAGAAGUAGUUAGCCUAACCGUAAGGAGGGCGAUUACCACGGUAGGAUUCAUGACUGGGGGUAAAGUCGUAACAAAAGGUAA
rnacentral:rRNA from 1 species